rnacentral:rRNA from 1 species
UGCCAGCCGCCGCGGUAAGACGAACCGACCGAACGUUAUUCGGAAUUACUGGGCUUAAAGGGUGCGUAGGCGGCCUUGUAAGUCAGAUGUGAAAUCCCACGGCUCAACCGUGGAACUGCGUUUGAAACUACAAGGCUUGAGGGAGAUAGGGGUGAGCGGAACUGAUGGUGGAGCGGUGAAAUGCGUUGAUAUCAUCAGGAACACCGGUGGCGAAGGCGGCUCACUGGGUCUCUUCUGACGCUGAGGCACGAAAGCUAGGGGAGCGAACGGGAUUAGAUA